rnacentral:rRNA from 1 species
GUAAACGAUGGAUACUAGGUGUGGGGGGUCUGACCCCCUCCGUGCCGCAGUUAACACAAUAAGUAUCCCACCUGGGGAGUACGAUCGCAAGGUUGAAACUCAAAGGAAUUGACGGGGGCCCGCACAAGCGGUGGAGUAUGUGGUUUAAUUCGAAGUAACGCGAAGAACCUUACCAGGGCUUGACAUCCCGAGGCCCGGACUAGAGAUAGUCCUUUCUCUUCGGAGACCUCGGAGACAGGUGGUGCAUGGUUGUCGUCAGCUCGUGUCGUGAGAUGUUGGGUUAAGUCCCGCAACGAGCGCAACCCUUAUUGUUAGUUGCUACGCAAGAGCACUCUAGCGAGACUGCCGUUGACAAAACGGAGGAAGGUGGGGACGACGUCAAAUCAUCAUGCCCCUUAUGUCCUGGGCCACACACGUACUACAAUGGUGGUUAACAGAGGGAAGCAAGACCGCGAGGUGGAGCAAACCCCUAAAAGCCAUCCCAGUUCGGAU